GACGAACGCUGGCGGCGUGCCUAACACAUGCAAGUCGAACGGACGAAGGGAGCUUGCUCCCUGAGUUAGUGGCGAACGGGUGAGUAACGCGUGAGUAACCUGCCUUUGUCAACGGGAUAACAGUUGGAAACGACUGAUAAUACGGUAUAUGACCACGGCACCGCAUGGUGCUGCGGUAAAAGAUUUUAUCGGACAGAGAUGGGCUCAUAUCCCAUUAGGUAGUUGGUGAGAUAACAGCCCACCAAGCCGACGAUGGGUAGCCGAGCUGAGAGGCUGAUCGGCCACAUUGGGACUGAAACACGGCCCAG
rnacentral:rRNA from 1 species